UACGUAGGGUGCGAGCGUUAAUCGGAAUUACUGGGCGUAAAGGGCGCGUAGGCGGCCACCGCAAGUCGGUUGUGAAAUCUCUGGGCUUAACCCAGAAAGGUCAACCGAUACUGCGGGGCUAGAGUGCAGAAGGGGCAACUGGAAUUCUCGGUGUAGCGGUGAAAUGCGUAGAUAUCGAGAGGAACACCUGCGGCGAAGGCGGGUUGCUGGGCUGACACUGACGCUGAAGCGCGAAAGCGAGGGGAGCGAACGGG
rnacentral:rRNA from 1 species